GACGUAGGGCGCGAGCGUUGUCCGGAUUUAUUGGGCGUAAAGAGCUCGUAGGCGGCUUGUCGCGUCGUCCGUGAAAACCAGGGGCUCAACCCCUGGCUUGCGGUCGAUACGGGCAGGCUAGAGUUCGGUAGGGGAGACUGGAAUUCCUGGUGUAGCGGUGAAAUGCGCAGAUAUCAGGAGGAACACCGAUGGCGAAGGCAGGUCUCUGGGCAUUAACUGACGCUGAGGAGCGAAAGCAUGGGGAGCGAACAGG
rnacentral:rRNA from 1 species